AUGGACUCUGCCCUCCCUGCCUUCCCUCCCCCCUCCGGCCUUCCCACAGCACUGGCAGCCGGGGGCUUUAAAGAAGCCAUUUUCCCUUUUCUCCUUCCUCUGUGCAGCCUCUGUGCAGGCCCACGCACCAGCUGGGCCCCCCACCAUGCUACUCCCACCGCCCCUGCUGCGCUCCUGCCUGCACAGCCUCUGCGGCUGCCUGCCGCCUUCCUGCCUUCACCUGGCUCCGCCGGCGCGGCUGAGCCACGCUCGGCAAGGCAGGGAGCGCGGGAGAGGAAUGAAAAGCCCCRUCUCCCUUUGAUCUCUGCGAGGCUUUGGAGCUGGUCUCCGCCUGCCAGGACCACCCAUUCCGGUUUCGCAGGGCCGCGUCUCCGCUCCCAACGCCCGCCGGGGCCACGGGGUGUGAGGCUGGACGUGCCGCUGGCAGGGAGCGGCGAGACAGGCAGCGCAGCGCGGGACUGCUCACAGCCAGCGCUGGCGGCUCCGUGGCCCCCAGCCAGCCAGGCCACGUCUCCCGGUCCCAGCUCGGACCAGCCCCGCAGCAUCCCCCACGGCCCUUUAGUCUCCGUUUCUCUGGCUCAGACCCUGACUUUCAGCUUCAUGGGGAUCCCAGCCCUCCUCCUGCCCGCUCGCGGUGCUUGCGUCACCCAGGAGCACCUGGCGAGCUGCCCCCAUUCCCCAUCAUCGCCCACCCCUCUGCGGCUCCGAGCAUCCCCGGGACGCCUGCGUGCCUCCCCCGCCCAGCGUGGGCACACAUCACUGCACGGCAGGAGGCAAGGAAUGAGCCCGGCCCCCUGUGGCACAGGCCGGCUCAGCCAGGUGUUCACCUUACACGGAGCCAGCAGCGGAGCUGGUGACCGCUGCUGCGAACGCUCACGGUCUGGGGGACGCCCGUGCUCAGCCCCUCACCACCCUGGGCCCUUGACUCUUUGCAGGAACAAAGCUUCCCUGGGAAGGGACAACAGGACAGAUCCCCACAUUCCCCUGGGCUGUGCUGGGCUACCCCAAGCUGCAAACCCUGCUGAGCUGGGAGUAUCACAGAUUUACCGCCAAGCUGCUCCUGGUCCACAGGCAAACCAUAGACAGGGUGUUUGCUGUGUUUGCAGGGCUUUGUUUUUCUGCCCUGUCUCAAAAGGAGAUUUGUAG
rnacentral:lncRNA from 1 species